rnacentral:rRNA from 1 species
GACGAACGCUGGCGGCGUGCCUAAUACAUGCAAGUAGAAACGCUGAAGAGAGGAGCUUGCUCUUCUUGAAUGAGUUGCGAACGGGUGAGUAACGCGUAGGUAACCUGCCUGGUAGCGGGGGAUAAACUAUUGGAAACGAUAGCUAAUACCGCAUAAAAUUGAUUAUUGCAUGAUAAUCCAUUGAAAGGUGCAACUGCACCACUACCAGAUGGACCUGCGUUGUAUUAGCUAGUUGGUGGGGUAACGGCUCACCAAGGCGACGAUACAUAGCCGACCUGAGAGGGUGAUCGGCCACACUGGGACUGAGACACGGCCCAGACUCCUACGGGAGGCAGCAGUAGGGAAUCUUCGGCAAUGGACGGAAGUCUGACCGAGCAACGCCGCGUGAGUGAAGAAGGUUUUCGGAUCGUAAAGCUCUGUUGUAAGAGAAGAACGAGUGUGAGAGUGGAAAGUUCACACUGUGACGGUAUCUUACCAGAAAGGGACGGCUAACUACGUGCCAGCAGCCGCGGUAAUACGUAGGUCCCGAGCGUUGUCCGGAUUUAUUGGGCGUAAAGCGAGCGCAGGCGGUUAGAUAAGUCUGAAGUUAAAGGCUGUGGCUUAACCAUAGUACGCUUUGGAAACUGUUUAACUUGAGUGCAAGAGGGGAGAGUGGAAUUCCAUGUGUAGCGGUGAAAUGCGUAGAUAUAUGGAGGAACACCGGUGGCGAAAGCGGCUCUCUGGCUUGUAACUGACGCUGAGGCUCGAAAGCGUGGGGAGCAAACAGG